AGUGAACGCUGGCGGUAGGCCUAACACAUGCAAGUCGAACGGCAGCACAGUAAGAGCUUGCUCUUACGGGUGGCGAGUGGCGGACGGGUGAGGAAUACAUCGGAAUCUACUUUUUCGUGGGGGAUAACGUAGGGAAACUUACGCUAAUACCGCAUACGACCUACGGGUGAAAGCAGGGGAUCUUCGGACCUUGCGCGAUUGAAUGAGCCGAUGUCGGAUUAGCUAGUUGGCGGGGUAAAGGCCCACCAAGGCGACGAUCCGUAGCUGGUCUGAGAGGAUGAUCAGACACACUGGAAGUGAGACACGGCCCAGACUCCUACGGUAGGAAGCAGUGGGGAAUAUUGGACAAUGGGCGCAAGCCUGAUCCAGCCAUACCGCGUGGGUGAAGAAGGCCUUCGGGUUGUAAAGCCCUUUUGUUGGGAAAGAAAAGCAGCAGGUUAAUACCCCGCUGUUCUGACGGUACCCAAAGAAUAAGCACCGGCUAACUUCGUG
rnacentral:rRNA from 1 species